UACGAAGGGGGCAAGCGUUGUUCGGAAUUAUUGGGCGUAAAGAGCGCGCAGGCGGUCGUUCAAGUCGAGUGUGAAAGCCCCCGGCUCAACUGGGGAGGGUCACUCGAUACUGAUCGACUCGAAGGCAGAAGAGGGAAGCGGAAUUCCCGGUGUAGUGGUGAAAUGCGUAGAUAUCGGGAGGAACACCAGUGGCGAAGGCGGCUUUCUGGUCUGCUCUUGACGCUGAGGCGCGAAAGCUAGGGUAGCAAACGGG
rnacentral:rRNA from 1 species